AUAGCUAUAGAGAAAAUUAGGUUGUAGAUUGCUUUGGCUAUAUGCCUUUAUUAGAUUGAUAUCCCCUAUUUCAUAUAUAUAUUUUUUACUAUGGGGAGAAGGAGAUUAUUACUGGCUGAAUAAGUUAUUGUAGCGACAUAGCACUCGAGAAUUCAUGGUAGCUUUGGAGGAAAAUUAUUAAGGUAUGUUAAGGUUAUCCCUUCUCUUUUUGGCAUGAUUUCGUAAGUAUUGCGACUUUCGGGUCUAUCGAGCUAUGGGGGAAGUUGUUGUAAGAUAACUAUAAAUAGAAAUAGGAAAUCGAAAUAGCACUUAGUAAAUUCAACUCUUUAUUAUUAAUUCCCUUUAGUGCUCCCACUCCCUCAUUUGAUUAGUUUAUUUUCAGUUGUCACAUGUUAAUUAAUUGCACAUAGUUAACCGGGGAAUCUCAAUUAUAGUUUUAUCUUCUUCAUAUUAUUUGACAUUGAAUUGUGACGUCUUUAAAUGUACUUGCUCCAUAACAUAGGAGUAUAAAUACAGAAAUUAUCUAACAGUUACCAAGACUAGACAACCGUGAGUUUUUGUAAGCAACAGACUUGCGUUAAAGGAUCACCUAGACGUGAAUUAUAGUUACGGACACUAUCGUAUAUGAUCGUGAACCUUUAAAGAUGGGUGGUUACAUGAAGGUUACUUUUGGAGAGGACAUUUUACAUACAUAUGUAUAUGAAUUGUGGUGUUGCUAUUUUCAAAUUUGUACUUUACAUGUUUUAGAUAUUGUGGUGAUCUUGUCAACCCACAAAGCAACUUGGCUAUUUAUGUUGUGAACAGUUGGAUGGGCUAAGAUUUUUAUUAUGGCUCGGUGUUCAUGUUGUUUGCCCACAUCUUUAUGUAUGCAUAGUUCCUAUGCAUUACAUUUCAUGCUUUAGGGGCUAGGAUUAGGGUGUGUGCCUACAUCACAUGCAUUUCAAUUCAUUUCUUUUUGAGGCUAGGGGUCAGGACGUACGCCUACACUACAUGGAUUUUAUUUUACAUGAUUUUUUAAUCGGACUUUGAGUUUUUGUCUCUCAUUAUGUGUGGGGACUGUGGAGGUUUGGUCAGUUGUUAUUAUUAUGACGAUAUAAGAAUUAGACACAUAUAGAAUUCGUAGUCAGUUACAGAUGGUUGGUCGUCGUGUUAUAAGCGUACGAGUUAAAGUAGGGGCAAGUAAGGUUGUUAAAAUUUGGGUGUGUUGGAUCCGAUUGCUUGUGCCUUACUCCUUUUGUUUUAAUCAUGUGAUUGUGGUUAGUCGGCACCUAUCGAUCUUAGAAGUGGCCGGAUAUAUUGUGGGGUUAAUUCACUAUUAAUACUAGUUUUACCACUUACAUUAGUGUAGAAUAAUGCCUAUAAUAGGAGGAUGAACUGUGGUAGGUUGUACUGAUUUGCAACAGAAACAAGUAUGUACAGGCUAAAUUUUCUUUCCAUGACCUGAUUCUUAAUUUCAAGAUUCUGAAUCUGGUGCACUAUUGAGGGAUAUCUCAUGGAGCUUUCUGAUUAUGUUGUUCACUCCCAUUUGAAAUAAUUAUCUUAUGUCGAGAGCUCAUGUUAAUUUUGUGUUUAGUACCAAGUUGGAGGUAAUGCCCUAGAAAAAAAAUCUAGUCAUAAGGAUAGUUAUUAUGCGAUAAAACACCGAUAGGAAAAAUGUUGGGGGUUUAGAUAUAUCAUAGGGUGUGAGUAAGUAAUUUUAAAUUGUAUAGGGUUUAGUAAAACGAGCAUAUCUCGGUGUGUAAUGAUCCGUUAUAAUUAUAGAAAUAUGUUUUGGAAAUCUGACACGUAGAUCUACAACUUAUGUUCUUAUAUCAAAAGCUGAUUCUGCUUUUAUGACUCCGAAAUAGUGGACGCAAGAGAGGACCAGUUCUGCCCAGUUCUUUAGUUUAGAAGACCUCUAUGUGCUACUGUUAGUAUUUAACUGAUAUCUUCCUCUACAAAAUGUAUUUUGUGGUGAUUGUGGAUUCUUUGUGACCCUAAGAUACAUACCUAUAACUUUCAUGAAGGUUAUAAAGCUUGGUUACGCCGUCUACUUAUUCAAAACUAAGUUGCAACGCUGAAUAGUAAGGCUGUCCGGAUUCACUGUUUUACGGACUUAGUAUGAUUUGCACAAACUAAGGGUACUUUAUAUGUUAAUCUUAAUUCAUAUCAAUGUAUGGGAGUUACUGAGAAUUAAUGAGGUAUCAAAUACACUUGUUUAUAAUUUGAGGAACUUGAAACAAUUAAUUGGGUAAUAACUUGAACUUUCCAAGAUAUAGUUGGGUUGAAGAUGUGUAAAAGACUAAGGUUUGCCUAUAACUUAGAACUUUUACCCUAGUUACCCACGAAUGUAUCUGUGAUAUUUGUUAAAUUAUACCCUCUAAUUAUUUACUUGAUCGUAUACUUUAUUUGGGUAAUACGAUCAUAUGUUGCUUGAUUCGAUAUCGCUUCUGUCCCGUUAGGAUAAUGUGACCGGUAGAGUACCUGUUGGUUUGAUCAUAAACUUUAUGUCUUUAUUUGGAAUGUACAUUUGUUCCUAAUUUGUACCUAUUCACUUGCCUCAAUAGUUCUCAUGCUCAUGUACCCUUUUAAUUGUUAUCAUAUAGUAAGUAUUUAUUAUAAGUCCAACCUCUUUAUUUGAGAAGUAACGUGUCACCAAUUGAAAGCUCAAUUUUGGGAUGUCUAGAUGUGUCUUCAAUAAACUCGUGCUAAGUAGAAUUAUUUGUCCUUUUUUUUAUAACCGUAGUGGAUCAUUUAUCAACCUAAAGUCCUUACUUCUCACAUGGCCUUAUGGCUUAGUUGUGUAUAUUCACCGUGUCUAAUAAAGUUCAUUGAGUCAUAUGAAUUUCGGAGUGUCACAUUGAAGUCCCUUUUUUUGGUACUUCAUUUGUCAUUGUUGUUGCCUCGAGCAUUUUAUCUAUAUGUCUACAUCACAGUUUAUAGUUCCAACAGCUCAAAAGGAUUAUGAUCACCGAAGUAACAAUCUCAAAGGCUAAUUAAAUUAAGUAAUGGAAAUCUGUAAAAUGGGUAGCAGCCUAAGGGGUUCUUAUACCUAGCACAGGGCCAAUCUCAGUUGAUAUGUUAAUGGGUGGAAUCCCAAGGGGUUCUAUUACCUAGCACAGGGCCGAUCCUAGUUGAUGUAUUUACAGGUGGCAGCUCAGGGGCAUAAGCCUAGCAUGGGCCGAUCUUGAUUUGAUAUUUAUCACUGAUCAACAGGUCAUUUGUAUUAUAUGGAUUACAAAGAUUAUAAAGAAAGAAAGGAAAAAAAUAACAUAAUGAAUAUACUGUACAUGAUUCCACAGUUAUAACAAAAGGUGAUCUUCUAUACUUGCCCUAUGGUUACACAUUGAUAUCUGGUUUCAUUUAAGAUCUUAUUUUACAUAUGGUCACUUUAUGCCUUACAUGCUCAGUACAUUCUUUCGUACUGACGUCCCCAUUUCCUGGGGGCCACUGCAUUCAUGACUGCAGGUUAUUAGAAGGAAAAUAGGUUCUUGCUGCAUAUGAUCGAGUUCAGCUGAUGAUUGGUAUGCUUCGUUAUUUCCGGAGUUGCCGAGUCUAGAACUUAUUUUUGGUUUGUAUAAUUGAUGAAUACUACAAGGCCUGUCCCGUCUAGCGAGUAGAUUUUUCUCAUCUUAUAGGCUUGUAGACGAUUGUGGAUGUGGGUCAAGUGGUCAGUUACAGUCCAAGUGUCCUUAUGUUAUACUUUUGUUGCAUUUGUGUUACCGUCAUUAUGCUCCCUUCUUUUAAAAUUCAACUUGGCCUUGAGAGUCCACUAAUGUUAUUUGGUUGGGUUUUAGGUUGUAUGUACAGUCGAGUGUGGCACCAUGUGCUAGUCUCGCCUCUAUGAUUUUGGGGCGUGGCAAUAUCAUGGGAUGCUUAAAAGCAUAUUCAUUCAUGAAAUAGCAAUAUUUAACUUGGUCUUGAUAAUCCAUGCAUCAAUUUCAUGUCAAAUGUUCAUAAAGUUCAUGCUUGAUAAUGAAAAUAUUCAUAAUUCAACUCAAAAUCUCAAAAUAUAGUCAUACGCAUCAAUUUAUGAAAGUAGAUAUGCAAUUCAACAUCCAAAUCACUUGAAAUCUUAUAAUACAUUUAGGUAUGAACCCUAAUUUGAAAUUCAUAUAAAAUUAUUUAAAUUUGUAAUUAAAAAUUGAUUUUGGGCACAAGGAUGAAAGAUUUAUCCCUGUUAAAAACCAAACAUACCUUAAUAGAUGAUUAGAUGAAGAAGAUUUAACUUUGAUUUCCUAUUUGUGCUAUUGAUAAUGAUUUCUUGAAUAUAUUAAAUUGAGAAUCUUGAAUAAUGGGUUUCUUUGGAAAAAGAAUGGAGGAAUUUGUAUUUCUUGGGGAUUAAGUUUUGAGGUUCUAGGGUUUCUUCAAGAGAGAAUUGAUAAAAGGUAAGCACAUAAUGCUUAGAAUAGGUUAAAUGUUAUGUUUUUUCAUGAUUUGAGGGCUUAGGAAAAGACCAAACUACCCUUUUUAAAUUUAACUUAGAAAUAGAAAAAUCUCGAUUCUAGGCCCUACCGAGAUGAUCCACUAUCGUGGUAGCUUACCGGAAAUUGACUAUUGCGAACUGGAACAUCAUCGCGACAUGGGGAUAUCGCGGUAAGCCACUGGAAAUUGAUAAAUUCUAUUUAGGCCAUCAUCUCGGUGCGGUACUAUCAUGGUGAGCUAUCGAAAAUCGACAAAUGGGAACUGGAAUUUUGCCGUGAUUUGGGCCAAUCCUGGUGGUCCAUUGGAAAUUGGACAUGUCUCAUUUUUCAUGUCACCGCGAUGCGGUGCUGCUUAUUUUGAGACACUGUCUUCACUAAAAGUGACAUAACUUCUCAACCGAAUAUCGAAUUGAGGCGAAGUUAGUAUCAUUGGAAAGUUGAGUCCAUUAUCUACAUAUUGGUGGCUCUAGAGCUUGAACAUUUACACAAAUCAAGAGUUGUUCAUUUUUAAAGUUUACCCUUGACAUAUUAGAGGAUAAACUGAGAUAGGAAAAGUACGGGGUAUUACAACAUGACUCUAACAAUUUUUUCCAUUUUGUCAAUAAACCCUUGGGUGUCCUACUCAACCUUUGUACCAGUAAAGAUGGGUGGGAUCAGCCUCAUAAAUUGACCAACCCGAGUAGUUUUAGACAAACCAGAAAUAGAACUCAUAUCUGUAUACCUUUGAGAUUGGGAAGCCACAAGUUGAGCAAUCAAGUGGAUAGAUUGACAGAACUCAGCACUCAAGACUUCUAUCGGGGAAGACUGGGUACGAUUAACACUGAAUCAAAGAGCUCGAGGUGGACUAGUUUAGAUCGGAGGAACCCCUGGAGUAGCAACAAAUUCUAGAGUACUAGCUCUAUUAUGGGUCCACAUUCCAUGAGUAGGGAGAACAUCAUCAGCAUGGGUGUUCAACUUGUUGGAUCUACGGGGAGGCAUGAUCAAUCUCUGAAAUAUAGGAAAUCAUAAGUUAGGGUACAUUCAAACUCUAUAGCAUAAACUAGAAUAUGAAGAAAGAGAAAUAUUUAUAAGAGCCUAGUAGCUCCCUCCUUAUAAGUGUGGCAUGCUACACACCCAUAAAAGGUCUCUACAUGAUGGGACUUCAUAAACACCCUAGGAACCUGAACCAUGCUCUAUACAAAGAUUUUUCAUCCUAAACUUGAAAGGUCUGAGAGACCUCUCAGCAUUUGAUCAUUAGCGUGACACGUCUAUUAAAAUAUUGCAGAAGAUAAAAUGAAAGCAUAAUAAUUCUAUUAAUCAAAUAUAACCAUUCGGUACAUAGGCCCAUAAGAAAACCCAAAUCCAUUUAGAACAAGUCUACAAAGUCUCUACUAAACUAAAAACAAUAAUCUAUCUAAAAUCGGGACAAUGCCUUCGGUCGAACCAUUAACUAAAACCAAAUAAUAUCAGCACAUGCAAAAGAUCCCUUUCGAAUUAAGAGAGGCUCACCAACUCCAAAUGUGUGAUAACAAUCUAUUAAUCAGUGGGCCCAUAGGAUAGGGCCUCAGAACCUUAAAUAUAUGGGUCAAUACACAAAGGUACGGAUAUAUAAAACAAUCAAAAAUAACAAAUUUUUAUACAACAUAGGUGAGAGAAUUUUGUAAUACAUUUAGCAUAAGGUAAGUGAAAACACCUGGGGCAUAAUUUAAAAGAUUCAAAACAUUUUCUUGAAAUCUUGACAUAACUUUUUAUUUUACUUCUGAGCUAGAUGGUACACGCUACAAACGUACUUAUCUACAGGCUAUAUGGACUUCGUGCUUGACUUAGCAGCCAAGCCUCCAAUUCGAGUUUGACUUAAUGAUUCGGAUCUGUCAUUCAUACUAUGCCAUAAGGCCAUCUCCAACAUACAAUCUAAAUCAUAGACAUUAUAAACCCAUAUCAACAAAACACAGUUUUGGGAUAAGAGUUUUCUGAACUCAAGCCUUCUUUGGGUAACCAACUAGCUCUUUUUAAGCCCAAGUUUAGUCCUUUAAAACCAUGCUUCAUGCUCUUAAAAAAUUUAUUUAUUUCAUAUUAACGGCACUCCAUAGUAGGUAUCGUUAUACCUAGACUUGCAAGUCGAAUCAUGUCAUAACGUAUCUAUAGCCUCCUUUUUAUUAAGAAAUCAAAUAUAUGUCCACCCAAAAGUUUUAAUCAAUGAAUAAUGACUCUAAUUCCAGUAGUACAUGAAAAACUUACUCAAAAUGUCAUGUUUCAAGUUUUCAACAUACGGGGGCCAACUCUUUCAUAAAUCAUAGGUAAUUCUUUUAUUUCACACAAAGAGUACUUAUAUAGCAAUAUGUUGUCGUAUCCUCAUUUCAAAAUCAACAUCAAGUCCAUGAAUGAUGUUAAAACGUUUAGCUCACACAUUAGAAGAUAUAAAUUAAAAAUCUUUAACAUGCUGAAUCAAACAAUUCCAUAUGAAAAGGGAAAUCUCAGGAUUCAAGCUCCCAUAUUAAUUCUCAAAAUCAUAUAUACUGUAAAUGUAAUUAAAAACUAUGGAAAAACAUCACUAUUAUCAUAUCAAAAGGUUCAUGAUGCAUAUUAUUCAAGGUGUUUUCGAAACCCUUGUUGUAUUAAUAAUUUUUAUGCUGUUAAACUUGUUAAAAUAAUACAAUAUUGUAACGCCCCAAAAACGGGUCUCGAGACGUCACACGGUGCUUGAGGCUACAAGUAGCCCAAGCUAACCCUUUGAGCCAUUUCAUACCAUUCAACACUUAUUUCAAUGUAAUUGUAAUCAAUAAGAGUUAAACUUCGUCAAUCAAAUCUCACUGCAAUAUAAGUAGGUAGUGAAAAGUAACAAAAUACUAGAUAUCGGACAACUCUGACCAUUCGGACAAAUCUAGUCUGACAAGCCUCUACUAAACAAGGUAUCAAUGAGCCAUUGGAAUAGGCCCCACCUGACUCAAACCCAAUAGAUAAAAUAAACAACUCAUAAUAAAAUAGGAAGUCUGAAUAACUUGUCCUCAAAUCAUGAGGACUCACCACUGCAGGAAAUGUGGAUCAAAAUGCUCGAAAAAUCAUGAUCAAGUCUAGAACUGAGCACCUGAACCUACAUUAUAGGGAAAAUAUAGCCCAUAUACUAAUAUGUGGGUCAGUACCAUGGAAUAUGGACCGAGUAUAUGGAGGUGUGUGCAAGUUUCAAAAAUCAAAUAUCAUAAAUAUUCAUAGGAAACAUGCAUGCUAUAACAAAUGACUCACGUAGCUCGAAUAAAAUCAUCAUAAUCAUAAAAGAGUAAGAUAUAUCAAGUAAAACACGUGAGUCAUAAUAGUAAGUUCUCAAUUCACUUUCAUCUUGAUUUCAAACCAUCAAAGUGAUCAGAUCUCAUAAAAAUUCUCUUUAGAAUAUAGUAUUUCAAUCUUUCGAAAACAAUGACUUUCUCAAAAAUCAAUCCUUCAAAACAAAUAUAUUCAUCUUAGAUAGAAUGGUACACACACACACACAUUGGGAGUCUCUCAUAACCGACAUAAACCAUGUGAGCUACAUAGAGUCCAAUGUCCAACCCACGUUGGGGAGAGCUGUCCUAUCCUUGCCAUCAGAGUAGGACCUUAAUCUUUCAUCCACUAGUGAUCAAGCCUCAGGCUCACAUCCUACGGGGCACGUAGUUCUAGGAAAGUUCCAAACCGCUAUACCUCCCUCUCGGUGCUAAAAACUACUCCCGGACUUAGCUCAGAUCUUUUAAAAGACAACUCACCUUAAAUAUUUCAACAAUUCAUAUUGGGAGCCAACAUGCUACCCCAUUCAUCAUAAAUCAAUUAAAUGGUGUGGAUUGUUUUUCUCACUUGGACUCAAAAUAAACUCUUUCAAGACCAAAAGGUCAAAUCAUUCCACAUCAUCUCAAAUCAUACAAAUAUCAAUACACUUAUAGCACAAAAUUUCUCAAAAGUACAAUUUCAAAUGGGGUUCAAAGACCCAUACAUCAAUAUCACGGUAAAAUCUCUCAAGAAUCAUGCUUUAUGUCAUAAAUACAUAUAAAUCCAAGAAAAAUCUAAAAAUUCAGCUUUUAUAUUUCACAAUAUCAACAUUAUCACAAGAACAACAUAAGUAACAAAUUCAUAUUUCAACUUCAUAGGAAAAUCAUGUAAAACCAUUUAAAUUCGUAAAAGAAAGCAAUUUUGGGAACAAGAACGAAAAAAAAAAGAGUGUUCUUGUUGAAAUCCCCACAUACCUCAAAAUUGGAGAUGUUGAAUGAACUCUGUGCUCCGAAACUCUAUUCACAAAAUUAUUACGUGCUUCUUAAAUCCCUCAAAAUGGGGAUUCCGAAUACCAAAAAUCUUUAAAAAGUCACGGUUGAAUCAUGAGCUCUCUUGGUUUCUUUAUAAAAACCCUAAGUUUUGUUCUUGGUCAAUUUGGGUGAAAGUGAUGUUAUUUUGGGAUUUGAGGGAUUAAAUCCCGUGUUAGAAAGGAUAGAGGCUUCAAUAUUUACUAUUGUACCAUUAAUGAAACGGAUUUGGAAUGCUGAAAAUGGCCAGGCGCGAUUAACCAGGCGUCGCCUGGUUUAGAGCGGUAGAGUUCACUAGGCGCCGCCUGUUAGAUCGCCCGUGAUAUGCAAGGCGGCGCAGGCUUAAUCGUCUGCCUUGUAUGGAAUCUAGCCCUGCGAUAGAGCGGGCGGCGCGGGCAGAACGUGCACAUCUACUGGAAUGUAUACCUAAACAUGAUCUUAGGCUCGUCUAAAAAUUCUGAAACUCACCCGGAACAUGCUAAAACCUUGCCCCAUCGUAACGUAACAAAAAAUUCAAGAAACGGAUGUUGGGAAGGUCGCGAAAUAAUUCAACUAAGAUUCAAGGCUGGAAAAAAACUAAGUGUUGGGACUCUUAAUGAAAUUUCUAAGUGUUAUGCCUAACUUAACUCAUUUCAAAGGCUUUAACAACGCGGAAAAUUUUUGGGGUCUUACAUUAUCUCCCCCUUGGAACAUUCGUCCUCGAAUAAUGUUAGAUAUGCCAAAAAUACAAAGGAAACGAAGGGCAAACAGCUGAGGCAACUUGCUAAACUUGCCUCUACUUCAUUCUAUACUCCGGAUACAGCAAGAAAUGCAUAAUUCAUGAUAUAACAGCUGAACAAUAUAAAAUAAUAGCUGAACUACUGCAAUUUUGAACAUAAAAGGGAUUAUUUAGAGAAGAACGGUACCUUCGGCUUUACCGGAGCUUGCAAAAAAUAGGUGCGGAUACUUGGAUCGCAUGUCCGCUUCAAUUUCCCAAGUUGAAACCUCAAAAUAUGAUUCCGCCACAACACUUUGACCAAGGGAGCUUCUUUGUUCCUUAGUCUUCGGACUUGGAAGUCAAGGAUCUCAAUGGAGGCCUCAUCAAAGAAAAGACUAUUCUAAAAUUCAGCGUUCAGAGAAGGAUAUACUACCACGGAAUCUCCAAUAUGCUUUCUAAGCAUAGAAACAUGGAACACCGGAUGGACAACUGACAAUUCUGUAGGCAACUCAACCUCAUACGCCACCUUACCAACACGGCUAAGAACUCUGUAAGGGCUAACAUAACGGGGACUAAGCUUCCCCUUCUUCCCAAACCUCUUCACCCCUUUCAUGGUCUAAAUCUUCAAAUACACCAAGUCUUCAGUUUCGAACUCAAGGUCUCUCUUCCUCACAUAGACAUACGACUUUUGAUGACUCUGGGCUGUCUUCAGUCUUUCUCUAAUCACUUUAACUUUCUCCAUAGUCUCAAAUACUGAAUUAGGACCACUCACAGUAGCUUCACCCACUUUGAACCAACCUAUGGGUGAUCUAUAUUUUCUCCCAUACAAAGCCUUAAACGGGGCCAUGCCAAUGCUAGAGUGAUAACUAUUAUUGUAAACAAACUCUAUUAAUGGUAGAUGCUCAUCCCAACUCCUCUUGAAAUCAAGAGCACACGCUCUCAACAUAUUCUCUAAAGUCUGGAUGGUCCUCUCAGCCUAACGAUCUGUUUGCGGAUGAAAGGCGAAACUCAAAUGCACCUGGCUACCAAAACCCUUCUAAAAUGCUCUCUAGAACUGUGAAGUAAACUGAGUACCCCUAUCUGAAAUGAUAGACAAGGGAACUCCAUGCAAUCUUACUAACUCCCGAAUGUACAAUCUCACGUAAUCCUCUUCAGUAUACGAAGUAUGCACAGGCAAAAAGUGCGCAUACUUAGUAACCUAUCAACAACAACCUAAAUAGAAUCAUGAUGGCAUCGGGAAGGAGGUAGACCAAUCACAAAAUCCAUGUUUAUCUCCUCCCACUUCCAAGUGGGAAUGCUAAACUCCUGCAUCUUACCACCAGGUCUUUGGUAUUCUACCUUAACCUAUUGGAACAUCUCACACUUAGCUACAAAUGCUGCUAUAUCUUUCUUCAUGCCACUCCACCAAUAGAUUACCCACAAGUUGCGAUAUAUCUUAGUGGCAACAGGAUAAAUAGAAUAUCGUGCAUCGUGCGCUUCAUCCAUAAUCCUCUAUCUUAGGUCAUCAAUAUUAGGAACACAUAAUCUACCAUGCAAUCUCAACACACCAUCUCCUCCUUGGGAGAAAACCUCCACCUUUUGGUCCCUAACUGACUCCUUCAGUCUGACCAAGCUAGCAUCUAAGUCUUGCUUCUCCUUUAAUUCCGAAACCAGAGAUGAUUCGAAACUACUCUGAACCCAGCAGAGUCAAACAGCCUAACUCCCAGUCUAGCCAAAUAAUGCACAUCAUGAGCUAACACCUUCUUACCCUCUUCUACAUGAGCUACACUACCCAUAGACACCCUGCUAAGGGCAUCUGCCACCACAUUGGCAAUGACUGGGUGAUACAACAUACUCAUGUCGUAGUCUUUUAACAGCUCUAACCAUCUCAUCUUCCUAAGGUUCAACUCCCUCUGGGUAAAUACAUACUGCAAACUCUUAUGAUCCGUAAACACAUCCACAUGGACACCAUACAAAUAGUGUCUCCAAAUUUUCAAAGCAAACACUACAAUGGCCAUAUCUAAGUCAUGAGUUGGGUAAUUCUUCUCAUGAGGUUUCAACUGCCUAGAAGCAUAGUCUAUAACCUUGCCCCUCUGUACCAAUACAUAACCAAAACCCACCCUAGAAGUAUCACAAUACACCAUAAAUCCAUCACUACCAUCAGGCAAAGUCAAAAUAGGGGCUGAGGUAAGUUGAGUCUUCAACUCCUGAAAACUUUUCUCACAAGAAUCUGACCACAAGAAUUUUGCUUUCUUUUGAGUCAACUGGGUCAUGGGAGACGCAAUAGAAGAGAAACUUUCCAUAAAAUGAUGGUAAUAGCCAGCUAGACCCAAGAAAUUUUAGAUAUCAAAUAGAGAGAUAGGUCUAGGCCAGUUUCUAACAGCUUCUGUCUUUUGGGGAUCAACCCUAAUACCUUUGAAAGACACAAUAUGACCCAGAAAAACAACUGACCUUAGCCAAAAUUCAUACUUGCUAAAUUUGGCAAACAAUUGAUGAUUUCUAAGGGUUUGCAAGACAAUUCAGAGAUGAUUUGCAUGGUCAUUCUUACUACGGGAUUAUACCAGAAUAUCGUCUAUAAAUACUAUAACAAACAUAUAAAGAUAUGGUCUGAACACUCAAUUCAUGAGGUCCAUGAAAGCUGCUGGGGCAUUAGUUAGCCCGAAAGACAUAACAAGAAACUCAAAAUGACCAUAGCGAGUUCGGAAGGCUGUUUUUGGGAUGUCACAUUCCCUUACUUUGAGCUGGCGAUAGCCGGAUAUAAGGUCUAUCUUGGAAAAAUAACUUGCACCUUGCAACUGGUCAAACAAAUCAUCAAUUCUCGAAAGGGGAUACUUAUUUUUGAUAGUGACUUUGUUUAGCUGGCAAUAGUCAAUGCACAUAUGCAAAGAACCAUCUUUCUUCCGUACGAAUAGGACAGGUGCACCCCAAGGAGAUACACUGGGCCUUAUGAAACCUUUAUCUAACAGGUCCUUGAGUUGCUCUUUAAAAUCCUUAAGUUCUUCGGGUGCCAUGCGAUAGGGAGGAAUGGAAAUGGGCUAAGUAUCGGGAAGAUGAUCGAUCCUGAAUUCUUUCUCUCUAUCAGGAGGUAUCCUAGAAGAUCUUCCAAAAAGACAUCAAGAAACUCAUUAACAACAUUAACUGACUGGAGAAUCGGAGUCUCAGACUUAGUGUCUUUGACCCUAACCAAAUGAUAGAUGCACCCUUUGGAAAUAAGCUUUCUAGCUUUGAGAUAUGAGAUAAAAUGACUCUUAGGUGACACUGAAUUUCUGAACCAUUCAAAAAUAGACUCACCAGGAAACUGAAACUUGACUACACGGGUACGACAGUCUAUGGAUGUGUAACAAGAGUGAAGCCAGUCCAUACCCAGAAUAACAUCAAAAUCUACUAUGUCCAACUCUAUCAGAUCAACAAAUAUGACCCUAUAAAAGAUAGAAAUAGGACACUUUCUAUACACUCUUCGGGCAAUAAUCGAUUCACCUACCGAGGUAGAAAUUAGGAUAGGCUCAGAGAUAUUUUUAGGAUUCACUUCAAAAUUUGCAGCAACCAGAGGUGUCACAUAUGAAAAAUUGGACCCAGGGUCCAACAAUGCAUAAACAUCAAGCUGAAAUAUACAAAGCAUACCAGUAACAACAUCGGAGAGUCCUCCUACCCCUGGCGAGAUGGUAAAGCAUAAAAUCGAUUCUGACAUUAACUGCCAGUGGUGCUAGAAGAGGCACCCUGAGUUGGGAUGGGCGAGUCACCGGAGCUAGAGCACUAGUAGUCUGAGUCUGAGGGGGAUUAUCACGUUGCCCUUGCCUGGAAUGUGGGCACUCCCUGAGUUUGUGACCCAAGUCACCAUACCCGAAACAACCUUUCUUCUCACCCCAAUACUCACCCGAAUGAGUCCUACCAUACUUAGGACACUGAGGAUAAUUUGGCCUGCUGCCAACACUGUGCUGGGUCCUCGACACAUAUGACCUAGUACCAUGCUCCUACCUACCUCUAGGCUCAGGAGCACUAGCUGACGAUGGUGCUGGUAUAGAUGAACGGUUUAGAAAUUGAGGGUGUUUCCCCCUUGAGAUCUAGUUUAGCCCUAUCCGUGCUAUUCGACCCUAGCUAUGUUAUUCUCUCUUAUUCUGUCCCUCUCCUUGAUCUUGUCGACUUCGAUCUGUUGGGCAUGAGUCAUCAAUCUGGAAAGGUUCAUCUCACUAUUUAUCAUAGCAGAUCUGUGCUCCUUAACAACAUAGCUUGACACCCCUGUCACAAAUUUACUCAUACUAGCCUGGUUAUCAGCUACCAAGUUAGGAGCGUAUUUGUCCAACUAAUUGAAUUUUAAGCAGUACUCUUUAACAGUCAUAGAGCCCUACCGUAAAUUUAUGAACUCCUCGACCUUCGCCUUUCUCAUCUCUAAAGGGAAGAACUUAUCCAGGAAUGCAUCCUGGAACUCCUGCCAAGUCGUAGGGGCGACACCCUUUCCUCUAUCCUUCCUCCAAUCCACGACCCAAUCAUAAGCAAUGUCUUUCAACCAGUACGAUGCCAACUCCACACUAUCCUCCUCAGAGACGUGCAUCAUCUGUGUGAUCUUUCUCAACUCCUCCAAAUAUAAAUGUAGGUCCUCAUCUAGUUUGGACCCAUAGAACUCCGACGGGUUCAUCCGCAUAAAGGACCGAAUCCUUACAGUAGUUGAAUGACCUCCCUGCUACUGUGAAGUCGGGGCCAGAUUGUCCUGAAUGUUUGCAGUGAUAGCUUGGGCCAGCGCCUAAAAGACUGCCUAGAACUCGACAUAGGAUACAUUAUCAUUUAGUGGGUCAGCAGACUGAGGUUGCUGACCGGCGUUAUUUCUUCUAGUUCAGCGAGGAGGUACAUUCUAAAAGAAGAGAGAACGAAUUAAUAGCAGAGAGAGAAACGGUAAGAACAAUGAACUUCUGAAAAAAAAGAAAUACCUUUUUUUCCUAAAAUGUCUCGUAGCCUCUUGCUCAUAGAUGUGGAGUGCUUCACACCGAUGAUCUAAACACUACUUAACACGGCUUGUCAGACUCCCUAGGACUCUUUAAAAACCUUACGCUUUGAUACCAAGUUUGUAACGCCUCGAAAAUGGGUCUCGAGACGUCACACGGUGCUUGAGGCUACAAGUAGCCCAAGCUAACCCUUUGAGCCAUUUUAUACCAUUCAGCACUUAUUUCAAUAUAGUUAUAAUCAAUAAGAGUUAAACUUUGUCAAUCAAAUCUCACUGCAAUAUAAGUAGGUACUGAAAAGUAACAAAAUACUAGAUAUCUGACAACUCUGACCAUUCGGACAAAUCUAGUCUGACAAGCCUCUACUAAACAAGGUACCAAUGAGCCAUUGGGACAGGCCCCAACUGACUCAAACCCAAGAGAUAAAAUAAACAACUCAUAAUAAAAUAGAAAGUAUGAAUAACUUGUCCUUAAAUCAUGAGGACUCACCACUGCAGGAAAUGUGGAUCAAAAUGCUCAAAAAAUCACGAUCAAGUCUAGAACUGAGCACCUGAACCUACAUUAUAGGGAAAAUAUAGCCCACAUUUGAAUAUGUGGGUCAGUACCAUGGAAUAUAGACCGAGUAAUGGGGGUGUGUGCAAGUUUCAAAAAUCAAAUAUCAUAAAUAUUCAUAGAAAACAUGUAUGCUAUAACAAGUGACUCACGUAGCUCGAAUAAACUCAUCAUAAUCAUAAAAGAGUAAGAUAUAUCAAGUAAAACACGUGAGUCAUCAUAGUAAGUUCUCAAUUCACUUUUAUCUCGAUUUCAAACCAUCAAAGUGAUCAGAUCUCAUAACAAUUCUCUUUAGAAUAUAGUAUUUCAAUCUUUCGGAAACAAUAACUUUCUCAAAAAUCAAUCCUUCAAAACAAAUAUAUUCAUCUUAGAUAGAAUGGUACACACACACACACAUUAGGAGUCUCUCAUAACCGACAUAAACCAUGUGAGCUACAUAGAGUCCAACGUACAACCCACAUUGGGAAGAGCUGUCCUAUCCUAGACAUCAGAGUAGGACCUUAAUCUUUCAUCCACUAGUGAUCACUAUAUCAUCCUCAGUCUCACAUCCUACGAGGGCACGUAGUUCUAGGGAAGUACCAAACCUCUAUACCUCCCGCUCAGUGCUAAAAACUACUCCCGGACUUAGCUCAGAUCUUUUAAAAGACAACCCACCUUAAGUAAUUCAACAAUUCAUAUUGGGAGCCAACAUGCUACCCCAUUCAUCAUAAAUCAAUCAAAUGGUGUGGAUUCUUUUCUCACUUGGGCUCAAAAUAAACUCUUUCAAGACCAAAAGGUCAAAUCAUUCCACAUCAUCUUAAAUCAUACAAAUAUCAAUACACUUAUAGGACAAAAUUUCUCAAAAGUACAAUUUCAAAUGGGGUUCAAAGACCCAUAUAUCAAUAUCACGGUAAAAUCUCUCAAGAAUUAUGCUUUAUAUCAUAAAUACAUAUAAAUCCAAGAAAAAACUGAAAAUUCAGCUUUUAUAUUUCACAAUAUCAACAUUAUCACAAGAACAACAUAAGUAACAAAUUUAUAUUUCAACUUCAUAGGAAAAUAUGUAAAAACAUUUAAAUUCGCAAAAGAAAGCAAUUUUGGGCACAAGAACGAAAGAGUGUUCUUAUUGAAAUCCACACAUACCUCGAAAUUGGAGAUGUUGAAUGAACUCUAUGCUCCGAAACUCUAUUCACAAAAUUAUUACGUGCUUCUUGAAGCCCUCGGAACGGGGAUUCCGAAUAUCCAAAAAUCUUUAAAAAGUCACGGUUGAAUCACGAGCUCACUUAGUUUCUUUAUAAAAACCCUAAGUUUUGUUCUUGGUCAAUUUGGGUGAAAGUGAUGUUAUUUUGGGGUUUGAGGGAUUAAUUUUUCAUUUUUAAAGUAUGUCUCAAUAAAGAUUAAAUGCAUUAAUUAUAUUAACGAAAAUUUUUCAUAUUUAUAACUUUGUAUCUCAAAAAUUUUAAAUAUAGACUUUAUUAACAAAUAUAUUUUUUUUAAGAAAACUUUGAAGCCUCUGUUUAAUUUUCGCCUUAGACCAUCAAUGUGCUUGAGCCGCCUCUACAAACGCCUACUUAAACUUGACGUUAAUUGGCAACUAUAAACGCUCCAAUUUAAGUAUGAUGUGCAUCUAGUCAUGCGUCAAUUAAACAAUCCGACUUAUCCCUAAAAAAACACUUAUAGAUCUUCAAAAUUUAUAUGACACGUUUGCUCUGGUGUCCACUUGAUAAAGAAAGGAUGAAUUGGAGUGUGUAAUCGUCAGUUGACAUUAAAAUUAAAUGUUUCGAGAUGUGCAUUCUCAAUAUUAGAGUGCGUACUUGUUAGUUAAGUUAUAUUUGAGUCUCUGUUUAUAUAUGACUAGUAUAAGUACCCGCGCGAUGCACGGAAUAUUUUUUUAAAAAAUAUUUACUAAAAAAUAUUAACUUAUUUACUUUUAGAUUAUAAAUUUAAUUAAUUUUUGUUAUAUCAUAGUAACAGAUUUCAAAAGAUAAUGAAAUAUUAAAAACAAUUGUGAAUAUGAAAUUAGAAUUGAUACAUGAUAAUUAAUUACAUUAUAAUUAUUUUAAAUAUUUUUAUAAACAAGUAUAUUAGUAUUUAUUUCAAUCAUAUUUUUAAAAAUAAUAAAAUAUUAAAUAUUAAAUAAUUAUUAAUUUUAUUAUUGGUUUUUUACCUUUGUAUUUUAAAUAAAUUAAGAGAUAUAAUUAUAUUUCUUUUCUUCUAUUUCAAAUUUCUGGCUUUUUGCUUUCUCAAUUCAACUUCAACUACUAACUACAUUUUUUAUAUAAAUAAAAUAUCAUUUAAUUUCAUUUCAAAUACUAAAAAUCUUUGUUGUGUCAAUUACAAAACUUCUAAUUUCAAAUUUUAAAUAUUACAACUCUUAAUUAAAAAUUUAAGCACAUAUAAUUUGUUAUUUUCUUUUAAAUUUUCAUACUUAUUGUUCAUAAUUUUUUCAUUAUUUGAUUUAAAAGCUCUCAUGUUACUUUCAAAAUCACCCAUCCCGCACCUUUGCCCACCCUAUCCACACCCUUUUUUUUUUUUAACUUUUAAAAUUUUUAUUUAAAAAGUUUCUUACGCCACCUCUAACCCCCGCCAUACGUCUCGACCCCUAUCCAACACAUCUUCCCCCACCCUCAACCCUCACCCAAAAAAAAUGCUUUUUAAUUUUCGUUUAUAGAUUUUUCUUUUUACCUCCCACCCCACCCUAACCCUAAAUUAAACCCAAUUUUUUUUUUUUUAUAAAGUUUCCCUCCACAUCCCCAAACAUCAUCCACAUACAUCCACCAUCCCGUCUAUCCACCCACCACCUAGUCCACCUCCUACCCCAGACCACCACAAUCCCCCUACCUCUCAUAAUAUCCAUACCUAGCCCACAAUAAUUCCCCUACCUCUUACAAUACUCGUCACUCUAUUUCGAUCCUAUCAGUUUUGUCUGAUCGUCUUAAUAACACUUCAAACAUGUUAAAUAAUAAUAUUAUCUUAAAAUAAAAGGUUCGACCAUUCAUGAGAUAUUUGUAUACAUCAUAUAUAGAAAUUUAAAAUUUUCUAGUUACAUCAGUACUAAAAGAUAAUUGUAAUUAUCUAAUUAUAAACAACAAUAACAACAUAACAACACACAACAAAAAUUUAAACUUUUAAAAUAUAUCUUCAUGAUACAUUUCAAGUAUAUAUCACUUUUUCGAUUCAGUAAAAUUUCAACAUAUUUCACAUAACAAAUCUUUUCAUACAAUAUUCCAUUGAACAUUUUACUUUCACGAAUCUUUUAAAACUAAUGUCGUACCUCCAUUUAAGAUCUCCAAAGUUUGAAAUUUGAUCAAUUCAACAUACUAUUUUCCUGAACAAAACAAUCAAAUUCAUAUAAUUUACCAUGGUAACAAAUUUUGAUGUAGUUACCAAAUGAAAUCAAUAUGUUUUCACAAUUUUUCAUACUUUGAAGAAAGCAAAUAAAUUGACCUAUAAAAUAAAAAUAAAAAAAAAUAAAAAAAGAGGGAGAAGAAGUUAUUUAAAUAGCAAAGAAAGAGAGAAAGAAUGAAAUAUAUCUCAUUUAUAUUGUUGGUUGACAUAUUGAUUUGGGUAAAAAGAAACUAUAUUUCAAAAUUUUAAAUAAGAGGUUGGGUGGGGUUACAAUAAAGGUGUCAAACGGGCCGGUCCGGACCAACCCGAAACCGGCCCUUCCAUUUUAACCGGGUUGAGGGCCAUGUUAAUCGGGCCGGGCCAAAUAGUAAAAACAUUAAAACCCACCCUAACCCGACCCACUUAACCCAACCCGGUCAAACCCGGUUAAAAACCGGUCAAACCCAUUUAAAAAAAUAAAUAAAUAAUCCAAUAUACACUAUAUACACUCCAAUAUACACUAUGUACACUCCAAUAUACACUAUAUACACUCCAAUAUACAAUAUAUAUUUUUUAAAAAAUAUAUAAAUAAUUACACAUAUAUACGUACCAUUCAAUAUAUAAUUAUAUAUGACUAUACGUACUACUUUAAAUAAAACAUAUUCUAUAAUAGUAUAAUAUAUAUAUACACUACAAUAUAUAUAUAUAUAUAUACUAAUUUAUAAAACAUAUACACANNNNNNNNNNNNNNNNNNNNNNNNNNNNNNNNNNNNNNNNNNNNNNNNNNNNNNNNNNNNNNNNNNNNNNNNNNNNNNNNNNNNNNNNNNNNNNNNNNNNNNNNNNNNNNNNNNNNNNNNNNNNNNNNNNNNNNNNNNNNNNNNNNNNNNNNNNNNNNNNNNNNNNNNNNNNNNNNNNNNNNNNCUAUAGAAGAUCUAUUCACAUAUAUACACUCUAUUCUAUGUAUACGCACCAUUCAAUGUAUAUAUACUACUACUUAUAAUAUAUACUACAUUAUAUACAUUACAAUAUAUAUAGAUAUACUUAUAUACUAAUUUAUAAAAUAUAUCUUUUUUUUUUUUAAAAUUUUUCGGGCCAGGUCGGGCCGGUUAACCGGCGGGCCUGCCGGGUUAGCCGGGCCUAUUUUAACAAAAUAAUCAGCCCAGGACCCGAAAUCCUAAAGUCCUAGGGCUUACCGGGACGGGUCAAGCCGGGCCGGGUUAGGUACUAGGAUCGGCCCGGCCCACUUGACAUCCCUAGGUUACAAUAUCUUAAAGGAUAAACUUAAAAAGUUGUAAAAGAGUUCUAAAUGGAUAUUAUUACUAUUGUUAUUGUUAUUGUUAUUGUUAUUGUUAUUGUUGUUGUUGUUGUUAUUAUUAUUAUUAUUAUUAUUAUUAUUAUAUAAAUAAUAUUUUGUUCUAAACAAUUAACAUUCAAAUGAAGAAGAUAAAAACGUGUAUUUUAUAUCAUUUAUAUUUUAAAAGUAACACGUUUUGGAUAGUAAAAGUCUAUUGAACUUUUCAAUUAUGGAUUUCUAAUUUUAGAAUAAUGAAAUUUAUUUUUUCUUUUAAGAAAGGGAUAAUGUAUUUCAAAUUCAAAAUUUUAAAAUUUGUUAGAAUCUUAGAAAGAUAAGAUUCUAUAAUAUCAUGAUUAUCUUAUAGUUUAGAUAUUUUGAAUGUGCAAAAAAAAUAUAUUUGAAAUUAAUGAUACCAAUUAGGAGUUUUCUAUAAUAAAAACAAAUAAAAUAAAAGAUUUAUUUUAAGUUAAUAAUAUAUAUUCUAAAAUAUUAGUAUCAACUCAACUGAUUUUAACCUUUCCAUUGUUUUACCCUUUUGGUUCUCUUUUAUCAUUUUAAAAUCUAUCUAGGGUUUCGAUGUCAGUGUGAGUGUGAGCUCUAUUAAUAAGUGGCUCAGAUCUCUUCCGCCUGGUUCGUCUUUUAUUUGUUCACUAGAAGACGUCGAAAACGAUCUAGAAAUUAUUAAGAUGUCCCAAUUGGCCAUUGACAAAUACAAUUCUGACAAGGUAAGCUUAUGUCCGUACGUAUAUCCUCAUUCAAUUGUUUGUGAUUGAUUGAGAUAUUCAAUUCAGGGUCGAGAUUACAAAUUUGUGAAAAUUCUGAAAGCCAACCAAUGGAUUCUAGGAGUGAUAUUGUAUUAUAUCACAUUCGUUGCCUAAUAUAAUAAUAAUUUUGACACCCUUCAAGCACAGGUAUGGGAGAAACCGGGAGGAGAAAAAUAUGAGGUGGACUUUUGCAGGCUUAAAGGUAACUUACCUUAGCUAGCCUGUUACUACUUAUAUUAUAUAUAUACCUUUGGUUUUUGAGGGUAUCCACUCGCAGUAUGGACUGCGGACACUUUACCAUCCCAUAACCCACUUUGUGGGAAUACGCUUGGUAUGUUGUUGUGGGGAUUUAGUGUCGAACCAUACAUGUCUAUAGUGACGAGUGUAUUGUCAUAAAGUCAUGCAUCCUUCAAGUGUUCCAAUACGCAAUUCGGGUAUUAGGUAGUCUCGAGAUUAUUUAUCCCACUGUUUGUACCAUAGUGAUGUAUAUAAGUUAUCCCGAGAUAGCUAAUCAUGACAUAAAUAAUCCCUUCUACCUUAGCUAGCCUGUUACUACUUAUAUUAUAUAUAUAUAUAACUUGGGUUUUUGAGGGUAUCUACUCGCAGGCGAGUAUGGACUGCUUAACUUUACCAUCCCAGAACCCACUUUGUGGGAAUUCACUGGUUAUGUUGUUGCGGGGAUAUGGUGUCCAACCAUUCAUGUCAUUUGGAAAGGGGUGGGUGGGUGGACCGACUUCAUCUUCCAAAUUCCUCACGGCAACCAAACGACCUCUUGAUGGAUUUAUUUGCUUUGGUCUUAUCUGAACACACAACAAUAUUUCAAAAUUCUCUAGUCUAGUCCACAAUUUUGGAAUAACUUAGCCAAUUUUUUGCCUUUUUCUUUUGCUAUAGAGGCUUUGACAUGCUUGAAAAUUCAGGUCCAUGUGCAUACAAGUCUUUGGUGUGUGUAGUUGAACAUCAAUUCUUCAAUUGUUAUGCAUGACUCUGUUAUUUGUGAUUGUUUUUUCACAUCAAAUAAUGUUAUACGUAAAAAAAAAAAAAAAAUUAUAUUGCUAAUAUGGUUUGUCUUGAACUCUGUUAGAAAUAGUGUCUAUCCACCUCCCAAGUUAGAGGCAAGGUUUGCGUACGCUUGUGUUUUGCGAAAGAAAGGUCUGUAUUUUCUGGUUCAAUGUUUCUUGCUAUGUUCACAGGUUGGAACAUAUAAUCCCCCGCAGUUUUGAUGAUUGGAGUGGUAGAUGGCUCUUUUUGCUAUGUUGAGGUUGGAAUUGUCAAGUUCUUUUGUUAUAUACGGACAAGUAAUUAUGAGAAAAAUGAUGUUUUGAAUUUGUUUUGUGUCAACCCUACUUUGGUUUUGAUCUUUGUUAUACUUAGAUGGCAAGUGAUGAGAUAUCUUCUGAUUCUUGUUAAGACCACUUUUGUCUACUUGUGUUAUUACUAAGACAAGGGAACAAGUAUUGGUGACGUUGUCUUUUAGUCUCGUACUUAUUCUGAGAAUAUAAUGAUGUUAUUUGUGUUACAAGCUAACACUGGAGAUAGAUAGUGUUGUGAUGUUAUGAUUCUUGUUAUGUUUGAUGAUGAAUACCUUGGGUUGUUUCGCUUCUAUCUAUGGUAGGGUAGUAUUUUGUUUUAAUUUAGGAUUAAUACAUAAACUGCCCUCUGAGAUUGCACCCAUUUCAAUUGUGGUUUCAAGAUUCUACAUUCUCUUGUUCAUGAUUGUACGAGACAUCCUUUGGUAGUAGAAGAUUCUUUUUGAUGUUGCAUGAAAGAUGAAUAAGUUAUAGGGUGAUUUCUUUCUCAGUGUCCAAGUCACGAUGGAUAGAGUUAUCUAGUUUCGAUACUUAUAGUGAUGGUGUAUGGAAGGUAACUCGUGAAAUAAUUGAUGCAUUCAAACUAUACACUUGACACCGUUAGUCUAUGUAAACUUGUGUUUUGUUGAAUCAAGAAUGUAAUGGUAUUUAUAUCUUUUCAACUGCUUUUGAAGUAUAUGAUUCUCCUUAAUCUUGAACUUCUUUUCGUACGCCAUUGCCUCCGAAUCUCCCAGCAUCUGUUUCGAGCUGUUGUUUGUUACAACUAACUUGUUUAGGAGUGUUUUAGAAACUCUUGAGUUUGAUGUAGCUUGAUGGAUUUAUUUGUCUCAUUCUUAUCGCAACACACACAACAUUUCAAAAUGCUCUAUUGGAAAUAAUAUUAUGUCGUCGUUUUGUAUAAAAAAAAUUCUAUUCCCUUGUGAUUGUGAACUUGUGUUUCGCGAGAGAAAAUUCUGUAUUUUCUGGUUCAAUGUUUCUUGCUAUAUUCAAGUUGGAACUGUCAAAUUCUUUUGUUAUAUGUAGACAAGUAAUGAAGAGAAAAAUGAUGCUUUUAACUUGUUUCGCGUCAACCCUACUCUGGUUUUCUUUGUUAUACUUAUUUUUUUUCUAAUAUUUUGCAGGUGAUGAGAUACCUCCUGAUUACGAUACUAACAAAUACGGACUCAAAUAUAAUCCCCGCACUUAUGAUGAUUGAAAUGGUAGAUGGCUUUUUUGCAAUGUUGAGGUUGAAACUGUCAAAUUCUUUUGUUAUAUAUAUAGACAAGUAAUGAUGAGAAAAGUGAUGUUUUAGAUUCUUUGUUCAAGUCACGAUGGACAGAGUUAUCUGAUUCUGAUACUUAUAUUGAUGGUGUACAGAAGAUAACUCGUGAAAUUAAUUGAUGCAUUCGAACUAUACACUUGACACCUUUAAGUCUAUAUAAACUUGUGUUUUGUUGAAUCAAGAAUGUACAGAUAUGUAUUAUAUCUUUUCAAUUUCUUUUGAAGUUUAGGAUGCUUUUCAAUUUGGAAGUGAUCAAUAUGUAUAUAAGAAGUUCAAUUCUUCACGUAUAUAUAUUUUGAUAAAUCUUAUAUAUUUUUUUUUUUUCCAAUUCUAGCUAACCAUAAACUUUCAAGAAAAAAGACAGUCUUUGCUCUAAAGCCGUGACUAAGUGCAUAUUGGCUUGUGUAAAAAAAUAAAUUUAUAUAUAUAUGUAUUGCCGAGAGCACAGCCCAAGCGUGACGCUUUCCUUUUCACAAUAGUACGAUUUUCUCCUAUUUGUCUAGCUCUUUCGAUGAUCACUAUAGCAUUUUCAGUACCAAGCACAACGGAGUCCGUGUUCGUGUAACAACAAUCAUCUCAAGAGAUGUAAGGGUAAGAUGUAUCUUAGUGUACGCAGUUAUAGCUGCCGAUGUCUGGACCACCGCGUUCUUUGUGUUGGACCAUUUCCCGAAGGUCGAGUUUAUACUGACAUGGUAGGAAGCGAGGUUGAUAUAUAUAUAUAUAUAUAUAUAUACUAGUUUAGGUGUACGCGUCUUGCGCGUGUAUCAUGAGUUCAAACAUUACAGUAAAUAGGAUGAUUGUUUAAAUACUAAAGAUGAAUAUAAUAAUUAAAUUUAAUAACUUUUGAGUAUAUAAAGA
rnacentral:lncRNA from 1 species